rnacentral:lncRNA from 1 species
CCUGGUUACCUUCUCCAAGGACAUGGUUACAAGAGAAGUGAAGUAACCUAGAAGUCAUAACCCUCAUACUCCUGAUACCUGGGUGUAAGGGAGGAUUUUUACCAUUUAGCCAAGCUAGCACUGUAGAUGAAUCUCCUUCCCAUUUCAAUCUUAUCAGCCUGUAUCCUGUGUAUAGCAACGCUUAACCCAUGCCAGGCAGCCAGCAUCAUCAGCCACUGGAAUCGACGUAGGAGAGAUCGGAAUCAAUGCAGCAAUCAAGACACGGCCUAAGUCAUUCCUUUGUGCAGAUUUAGUAUUGGCCCGUGGGGCGUUGCGGUCCCAAACCCUGCACCAAGAUUCCGCCGAGGGAGAUGGAUGUUGGUUGAUGCGGGACUGUCUUUAAGGCAGGUAACACAACUAUCUGUUGCUAUCUUUGGAACCUUGCCUAUGCUUCUUCUUUGUUGGUGCUCGGCAAGAAGAAUCACACGAUACGAAAAACGGAAACAAUAGAUUCAAUUCAAAAGACAACAAAAAAAGAACUUUAGUAAGAAUGGUAAGGGUUCAUGCUAGCCUAAUACAAUCUAGAGGGAGUUGAUUUACCCACCC